UCGGGAAUUUUGGGCAAUGGGCGAAAGCCUGACCCAGCAACGCCGCGUGAAGGAUGAAGUAUUUCGGUAUGUAAACUUCGAAAGAAUAGGAAGAAUAAAUGACGGUACUAUUUAUAAGGUCCGGCUAACUACGUGCCAGCAGCCGCGGUAAUACGUAGGGACCAAGCGUUGUUCGGAUUUACUGGGCGUAAAGGGCGCGUAGGCGGCAAUUCAAGUCAUCUGUGAAAUCUCCGGGCUUAACUCGGAACGGUCAGAUGAUACUGCUUUGCUAGAGUGCGGAAGGGGCAAUCGGAAUUCUUGGUGUAGCGGUGAAAUGCGUAGAUAUCAAGAGGAACACCUGAGGUGAAGACGGGUUGCUGGGCCGACACUGACGCUGAAGCGCGAAAGCCAGGGGAGCAAACGG
rnacentral:rRNA from 1 species